rnacentral:ncRNA from 1 species
CCUUCGAUGUCGGCUCUUCCUAUCAUACCGAAGCAGAAUUCGGUAAGCGUUGGAUUGUUCACCCACUAGACCAAGGGGUCUCCAAUAAAACCCUAUGGUGGGAAUAGUUGGGUCGCUCUAGAGAAGGAGUGAUUACGCCAGCUAGUCGACACAGCAUAUCACUGCAGGUGCUGUGCGGCGACAUAACCUGGAUCGGGGAAAGCUAAGGUUGUCUCACAAAAGACAACUAUGCCAAUCCCGAGCGGAGCCGCAGUUUGAGUGAUCUUACUGCAACGGCCCGUGUAGAGCGCGGAAAGGUGUGGGCGAAUCUCAUUGAGAAUUGCUUAAGGGACGUGCCAGACCCCCGAGAAAUCGGGUCCUACGGAGGAGCGCCUGCAGCGUAAAUCCAACAGGAAUGCGAGCAUUGCAUUAAGCAAUCGAGAGUGGCCAGAAGGAAAUUCACUGGCAGCGAGCAUCGGUACAGAUUCAGAGGCUCUCUGAAAAUCGAAUAGGGAACGUGAGCUGGGUUUAGACCGUCGUGAGAUAGGUU